AUGUGGACAUCCACAUCUGCCACCUGCCUCUCAUUUUCGCAAAACCCUCCUGUUGGUGUCCAGCCUGUCUCCUUCCACCCACUCCACUCUCCAUCCUCUCCUGCGGGGCCCUCUGAAGCCUGUCUGUCUCGGGGAGGUGACGCUCCCGCUGCAGUAGCCUCUCACGUUCAAGCUUCUCCCUUGCGACCUCUCCUCACGGGACGGGACGGGACGGGACGGGACGGGACGGGACGCAUGGCUGCCCUUCCCCUAGUCGGCCCAGCAGAGCGCCCAGCCUCUUCCCUACGGCUCACGCCUCUCCUCUCAGAGCUCCCUAACGCCUGGCAUUUAGUUGUAUUCAGUCAUCCCUUCUCCUUGGGGCUGUGCUCCCUCCCGUGUAGGGCCCUCACUGCUCACGCUCUUUCCAUCCCCUCAGCGGGCCGCGUUCACUCCAGAAGCCAUCUGCUGUCUCUCGUCUCGUCCUUCCGCUGGCUCCCACCACCGCCUUCCCUUGAGGCUCCCUCUUCCCUAGCCUUGGCCCGUCUCACCUUCCUCUUCCGUCUUCCCUUGCAUCAAGCCACUGUCUACUGGCCUCUACGCGGUCCCGCCACUCAGUCCUCUGCUUCCUUCCUUUGCCCCCACGCCUUCCUUCUCUCUUCUUUCUUCGGGACCCAUGCUGCGCCCCUGCCCAUCGCCCUUGCUCUCCUGCUCCCAGUGGACCAGGUCGGGAUCCACCCCGCUCUGCCCUCUUGCCCUCUUGGGCACGGUCCCCUCACAACACCCACAUGCAGACUUUGAGACGCUCCUCUCGGUCUCCAGCCCUUUCUGCCUUGCCCUCUCUCUGUUGUCCCUCGGCUCCAGCCCGCAGGGCAAGAGCCCCCACCUCCCAGCCCCACUGUCCCACCCCUCGCUCUCUCCCUCCGCGCCCCUUGGCUGGCAACGUCAUCUUCUCCGACCCGACCUGUGACCCCGCGCUGGUCUGAAGGUCCCCGUCUAUCCGUGCUUGCCUCUGCGGGCUCCUCCCGCCACGUGCUAGACUACCUCCAUUCCUCUCCGGGUCCCCUGAAAUAGCAGAAGCAGGCAUUUGGUGAUCUUUGCGAACCCUCACCUCCGCCUUGCUUCCUACCUGCUCCUCUGCCAUUCCUAAGCGUGCCUGCCAUCCACACCCUGGACUCCCUGCUCGUGAGUCCAUCCCGAAGGCCCUGACGUGCUUCCUGAGCGGGGUGCCUCAUAACUGCCAGCCUGCCCCGUUUCCUCUGUGUUCACUACAGCCACUGUACCCCUUUCCGCACCUGUUCCCCAGGGCUCCGGCUCUUCACACCCCCCCGGGCCGUGAGUCCCGCCUCCGCGCUCCCGCCCUGCUCCUGCCACGUGGCCUCCAUUCCUCCCCUGCCAAGCCCCUUGCCCAGACAUCGGGCCCGUGUCCCAACACCGCACGCUCUUCAGGCUGGCUUCCCCUUUUCCCACCCGGAGUCCCCCCGCACGUUCACGAGGUUCCCUCCCCUCUUCAGUCCCGCCUGCCCCUGUCUCUUCCCAUCGGCUAUCCUGACCCCACCCACAGCCCGCAGACCACCUGCUCACGGCUGCCCGAGACUCCACUAUCGCCCUCUGCGCACGUCCCUGCUGUGCGGAUUUCAACCCUUCUUGGCCCAUCCUCCUCUUUUUCUCCCACUGUCGUCUCUGAGAGACCCUCGCGUCAUCUUCAGCUCCCGUCCUCCUCGCCCUCGUAGCUGUCGGGCACGUGAGGCAGCCAC
rnacentral:lncRNA from 1 species